AACAGGAAACAGCUUGCUGUUUCGCUGACGAGUGGCGGACGGGUGAGUAAUGUCUGGGAAACUGCCUGAUGGAGGGGGAUAACUACUGGAAACGGUAGCUAAUACCGCAUAACGUCGCAAGACCAAAGAGGGGGACCUUCGGGCCUCUUGCCAUCGGAUGUGCCCAGAUGGGAUUAGCUAGUAGGUGGGGUAACGGCUCACCUAGGCGACGAUCCCUAGCUGGUCUGAGAGGAUGACCAGCCACACUGGAACUGAGACACGGUCCAGACUCCUACGGGAGGCAGCAGUGGGGAAUAUUGCACAAUGGGCGCAAGCCUGAUGCAGCCAUGCCGCGUGUAUGAAGAAGGCCUUCGGGUUGUAAAGUACUUUCAGCGGGGAGGAAGGGAGUAAAGUUAAUACCUUUGCUCAUUGACGUUACCCGCAGAAGAAGCACCGGCUAACUCCGUGCCAGCAGCCGCGGUAAUACGGAGGGUGCAAGCGUUAAUCGGAAUUACCGGGCGUAAAGCGCACGCAGGCGGUUUGUUAAGUCAGAUGUGAAAUCCCCGGGCUCAACCUGGGAACUGCAUCUGAUACUGGCAAGCUUGAGUCUCGUAGAGGGGGGUAGAAUUCCAGGUGUAGCGGUGAAAUGCGUAGAGAUCUGGAGGAAUACCGGUGGCGAAGGCGGCCCCUGGACGAAGACUGA
rnacentral:rRNA from 1 species